UUCUGAGAAUAUCCAGGUGUGUUCUGGGCACGUCCAGGUGUGUUCUGAGAAUAUCCAGGUGUGUCCAGGUGUGUCCAGGUGUGUUCUGGGAAUAUCCAGGUGUGUCCAGGUGUUCUCUGGGCACGUCCAGGUGUGUCAAGGUGUAUUCUUGGAAUAUCCAGGUGUGUCCAGGUGUGUCCAGGUGUGUCCAGGUGUGUUCUGGGCACGUCCAGGUGUGUUCUGAGAAUAUCCAGGUGUGUCCAGGUGUGUCCAGGUGUGCUCUGGGCACGUCCAGGUGUGCUCUGGGCAUGUCCAGAUGUGUCCAGGUGUGUUCUGGGAAUAUCCAGGUGUGCCCAGGUGUGUUCUGGGCACAUCCAGGUGUGCUCAGGUGUAUCCAGAUGUGUCCAGCGUAGUUCCAGGCAUGUCCAGGGUAGUUCCAGGUGUGCCCAGCUGUGCCCAGGUGCGCCCAGGUGAGCUCAGUGUAAUUCCAGGAUAGUGCCAGGGUAAUUCCAGGUGUGUCCAGGUGAGUUCCGGGUAAUUCCAGGUGAGUUCAGGGUAGUUCCAGUUGUCCCCAGGUGCGCCCAGGUGCGCCCAGGUGCUCAGGGCAGGAAGCCCAUGUGUAUCCAGGUGAGUUCAGGGUAAUUCAAGGAUCGUUCCAGGGUAAUUCCAGGUGUGUCCAGGUGUAUCCAGCCGUGCCCAGGUGUAUCCAGGUGCGCCCAGGUGCGCCCAGG